GGGUGAGUAACACUUAGGAAUCUGCCCAGUAGUGGGGGACAACCAGGAGAAAUCCUGGCUAAUACCGCAUACGCACUACGGUGGAAAGUGGGGGACCUUCGGGCCUCACGCUAUUGGAUGAGCCUAAGUCGGAUUAGUUUGUUGGUGAGGUAAUGGCUCACCAAGGCGACGAUCCGUAGCUGGUCUGAGAGGACGAUCAGCCACACUGGGACUGAGACACGGCCCAGACUCCUACGGGAGGCAGCAGUGGGGAAUAUUGGACAAUGGGCGCAAGCCUGAUCCAGCAAUGCCGCGUGUGUGAAGAAGGCCUGCGGGUUGUAAAGCACUUUCAGUAGAGAAGAAAAGCCUAGGGUUAAUACCCCUGAGUCUUGACGUAACCUACAGAAGAAGCACCGGCUAACUCCGUGCCAGCAGCCGCGGUAAUACGGAGGGUGCGAGCGUUAAUCGGAAUUACUGGGCGUAAAGCGCGCGUAGGCGGCUUUGCAAGUCGGAUGUGAAAUCCCCGGGCUUAACCUGGGAACUGCAUUCGAUACUGCUUAGCUAGAGUAUGGUAGAGGGAA
rnacentral:rRNA from 1 species